AACGCACCUUGCACCCUUUGGGACUCCACUGGGUAUGCCUGUUUGAGUGUCUAUCCAAACCCCUCGGGCGCGGCUCCUUGUGCAUUGCACGGGCGUCGUGCGCGGUGUUGAGCGUUGUGGGCGGGCGGCGUUGGCCGCUUGCGGACUCGCUUUAAAUGGAUGAGCGGCCUUUGCCUUGCCACGAACGUUAUAAGUCUAUUGCGUCGUUUGUGGGUGAGUGCGCGGGGGUGCUUCUAAUCUGGUCCCCAACCCGACCGGGCGGUUGUAACCGCUGCCCCGGUGGGAUGUGUGGGACCCCCUUCAACCAGACCUCAAAUCAGGUAGGACUACCCGCUGAACUUAA
rnacentral:misc_RNA from 1 species